CUGGCCUCAGCUUCAGGGCAAGGCUUGUGCAUGACUGAGGUCUGCCCAUUGAAGGCCAUAAUUUUCAAAGAUUUCUAACUAUCUGGUUUCAAAAAUAAUAAUAAUAAUUGGUCUGUGGUAGAAUUGGAAGCCACCUGCCUGGGUCAACAGUCGGGGUAGAGGAGCAGUGGAGGCCCCAGUGCUGCCCGGCUCUGACUGCAUGUUUCUCCUCCCUUCUUCAGGUGACCCCAGGGUUCGAGGAAAAGGAAGGAGACACCGCCGUGUUCAAGGAUGAUAGGUACUGGAUCCGAGGGCGUACAUCAGUGGACAUCAUCAAGACUGGAGGCUAUAAAGUCAGCGCCCUG
rnacentral:lncRNA from 1 species